AUAGGAGGUAUGAGAAGGCUGCAAGGUACAGAAUGGUCCACUUGGGGGGGACGGGACUGAUGAUUAGCUUGGUAUUUCACAAGACAAAGAGUCACUAUUUCUCCAGUGGAUGGCCCUGGUGUUCAGAUGUGUGGGGGCAGCACUCGGGGUCACAUGUCCCCUCCAGAGAUGCUGCUUGGCUUGUAUUGAGCAUGCUCAGUAACAUCUGUUGAAGCUGCUGCCCUCUCUCUGCCCACCCCCUUAUCGGCAGGUACAGGUCAUCUCUGCUGGUAUUUGUUGGUGGAGGGAUGUCCCACAGUUGUGGACUAUAACAGGUAUGCUGAAGCAGGACGUUCCUGUUUCAGAGUCUAGAAGGUUCCUAGCUCCUCACACAUCAAACAGCCUACUUCCCCCCAGAUGUCAGGCCACAGAUAGAUCUGCUACCACACAGAGUUGCUAUAGUGCGUUGUCAUGGUAAAUCCGCAAAACAAAACAAAAAACAGUUCCACAUCAACGUAACAGACAACUCAUCAAGAUGCAUCCUCAGAACAACAUACUUUACAUAAGGACAAUGGAAUGAAGACACUGGACAGGAGAACAGGAACACAGACAGGAACAAGGACCUCAGGGACAUGUGUCAGGAAUGGGAACACAACAGGAAUUGGACCUUAGGAUCUUUGGUGCCAGAUGGGAGAACUGAAGAAUAGCGAUGAAGCUCUGAAAUAUUCAAAAGUAACCUCUUACUUUGGUUGCCUAACCUAAGUUAUGGUAUUCAGAGAUGAUGAAUACCUGCCCCUCCCAUUGAUUGCAGUUGAAGAGGUGAGUGCUCAGCACACAGGCCUUAAGUAUCUACAGUUGGGCCCAACAUUAGAGGGCACUUUUUGAAUAUUUUGGCUUAAGUGACUUGCUCAAGGCCCUAGGAAGUCAGUGACCAAGGUGGAACUAGAAUUAAGAAGUUCCUGGCUCCCAGUCCUAUGCACAGAUGACUAGACUAAGCCUUAGUGACAAACGUAUCCUCUUCUCCACCACUUCUAUCCCUUCCCAAGUGAGGAGAGUGUUUAAAAAAGACUGAACUUCAUACAGCUAAGAAGGAAAAAAAAUGUCUAAACUCACUGGAACCAAGUUGAACAGAGUAAUUUAAAACAAACUGAGGAAGAAGGUUAAGGGAUGGUACUGAGUUAUGGAAGAUAUUUCACAGAACAGCAAGGAGAAACAGUCCUCUGAAGUCGAGGCACAUUCACUGUUUGAAGGGAAUAAAAAACAAAUUUAAGGCUAGUAAAUUACUGAACCUUCUUGGUUUUCAAAGUAUUUUAAAAAUAUAAUUGUAUUUUAAAACAUAUUUCAGUGCCUAUUUCAAGUCAAUCACAUUAGACCAAUAUUGAUUGUUAAAUAGACCACUGUUACAUGACUUUCAAAGGGACUUGGGCUCCUA